rnacentral:piRNA from 1 species
UUACAAGAUGGCGCUGACAUCC